UACCAGCACCCCGAGUGGUCGGGACGUUUAUUGGGCCUAAAGCAUCCGUAGCCGGUUCUACAAGUCUUCCGUUAAAUCCAACUGCUUAACAGGUGGGCUGCGGAAGAUACUAUAGAGCUAGGAGGCGGGAGAGGCAAGCGGUACUCGAUGGGUAGGGGUAAAAUCCGUUGAUCCAUUGAAGACCACCAGUGGCGAAGGCGGCUUGCCAGAACGCGCUCGACGGUGAGGGAUGAAAGCUGGGAGGGCAAACCGG
rnacentral:rRNA from 1 species